rnacentral:rRNA from 1 species
AUUGAACGCUGGCGGCAUGCCUCACACAUGCAAGUCGAACGGCAGCGGGGGAGAAGCUUGCUUUUCCUGCCGGCGAGUGGCGAACGGGUGAGUAAUACAUCGGAACGUGCCCUGUAGUGGGGGAUAACUAGUCGAAAGAUUAGCUAAUACCGCAUACGACCUGAGGGUGAAAGUGGGGGACCGCAAGGCCUCAUGCUAUAGGAGCGGCCGAUGGCUGACCAGCUAGUUGGUGGGGUAAAGGCCUACCAUGGCGACGAUCAGUAGCUGGUCUGGGAGGACGAUCGGCCACACUGGGACUGAGACACGGCCCAGACUCCUACGGGAGGCAGCAGUGGGGAAUUUUGGACAAUGGGCGAAAGCCUGAUCCAGCAAUGCCGCGUGUGUGAAGAAGGCCUUCGGGUUGUAAAGCACUUUUGUCCGGAAAGAAAUGGCUCUGGUUAAUACCUGGGGUCGAUGACGGUACCGGAAGAAUAAGGACCGGCUAACUACGUGCCAGCCGCCGCAGUAA